GACGAACGCUGGCGGCGUGCUUAACACAUGCAAGUGGAGCGACGAACCAGGGCUUGCCCUGGGGCAGAGCCGCGAACGGGUGAGUAACACGUGGGGAACCUACCCCGAAGACUGGGACAACCCGGGGAAACUCGGGCUAAUACCAGAUGUGGUCCCACUACAUAAGUGGUGUGACUAAAGGAAGCUUCGGCCUCCGCUUUGGGAGGGUCCGGCGGCGCAUUAGCUUGUUGGUGAGGUAACGGCUCACCAAGGCUUCGAUGCGUAGCUGGUCUGAGAGGACGAUCAGCCAAACUGGAACUGGGACACGGCCCAGACUCCUACGGGAGGCAGCAGUGGGGAAUCUUGCGCAAUGGGCGACAGCCUGACGCAGCAACGCCGCGUGGGGGAAGAAGGCCUUCGGGUUGUAACCUCUUUCAGGAGGGGCGAAGCUUUGCCGGUGAAUAGCCGUGUGAAGUGACGGUACCUCCACAAGCAGCCCCGGCUAACUACGUGCCAGCCGCCGCCGUAAGAC
rnacentral:rRNA from 1 species